rnacentral:pre_miRNA from 1 species
UCUGUAGCACUAAAGUGCUUAUAGUGCAGGUAGUGUUUCGUUAUCUACUGCAUUAUGAGCACUUAAAGUACUGCUAG